rnacentral:rRNA from 1 species
UACGUAGGGUGCAAGCGUUUAAUCGGAAUUACUGGGCGUAAAGCGUGCGCAGGCGGUUUUGUAAGUCUGUCGUGAAAUCCCCGGGCUCAACCUGGGAAUUGCGAUGGAGACUGCAAGGCUAGAAUCUGGCAGAGGGGGGUAGAAUUCCACGUGUAGCAGUGAAAUGCGUAGAGAUGUGGAGGAACACCGAUGGCGAAGGCAGCCCCCUGGGUCAAGAUUGACGCUCAUGCACGAAAGGCGUGGGGAGCAAACAGG